GACGAACGCUGGCGGCGUGCUUAACACAUGCAAGUCGAACGGAAAGGCCCUGCUUUUGUGGGGUGCUCGAGUGGCGAACGGGUGAGUAACACGUGAGUAACCUGCCCUUGACUUUGGGAUAACUUCAGGAAACUGGGGCUAAUACCGGAUAGGAGCUCCUGCUGCAUGGUGGGGGUUGGAAAGUUUCGGCGGUUGGGGAUGGACUCGCGGCUUAUCAGCUUGUUGGUGGGGUAGUGGCUUACCAAGGCUUUGACGGGUAGCCGGCCUGAGAGGGUGACCGGCCACAUGGGGACUGAGAUACGGCCCAGACUCCUACGGGAGGCAGCAGUGGCGAGUAUUGCACAAUGGGCGCAAGCCUGAUGCGACGACGCCGCGUGCGGGAUGACGGCCUUCGGGUUGUAAACCGCUUUCGCCUGAGACGAAGCGUGAGUGACGGUAAUGGGUAAAGAAGCACCGGCUAACUACGUG
rnacentral:rRNA from 1 species